rnacentral:rRNA from 1 species
AUUGAACGCUGGCGGCAGGCUUAACACAUGCAAGUCGAGCGAGCGGCGGACGGGUGAGUAAUGUCUGGGAAACUGCCUGAUGGAGGGGGAUAACUACUGGAAACGGUAGCUAAUACCGCAUACCAUCAGAUGUGCUCAGGUGGGAUGAGCUAGUGGGUGGGGUAAUGGCUCACCUAGGCUACGAUCCCUAGCUGGUCUGAGAGGAUGACCAGCCACACUGGAACUUAGACACGGUCCAGACUCCUACGGGAGGCAGCAGUGGGGAAGAUGGCACAAUGGGCGAAGGCCUGAUGCAGCCAUGCCGCGUGUGUGAAGAAGGCCUGCGGGUUGUAAAGCACUUUCAGCGAGGAGGCGUUACUCGCAGAAGAAGCACCGGCUAACUCCGUGCCAGCAGCCGCGGUAAUUC